UUUAAAUGAGGUAAAUGAAUAAAAUGUCCCAGAGCACAACUGUGUGCGCUGACAAAAAGUCAAUCACAUGAAUAAUUCAGCGCCCGGCACCGCCAGCAAAGGUCGCUCCCGCUGACCUUUGUGACAGGAAGUGAAAGGAAACACUGGUGCCUAAAAAACCCUCCCAUCAGUCUGCGGCCACUGCUCCGGCACCGCAGCCGAGGUGCAACCCUGCAGCGUGGGUAGGUUGAGGACCCCGGGCAGAGCCACAGUGAGCACCCAGCAGCCGUGCAGAGGUGUGGGAUGUGGGCAGCGUCCGCCCCACGUGCAACCUGAGGUCAGCCUGCAAGUAUGCCGGGAGCUGCGGGGCUCAGCAACAGCUGCUGAAUAUGACAAAACUUCUUAUUCCCCCAAACUAAAGCUAUUCCAAACUCUGUACGAAAGAAAUGGGAUAAACAGAUGUCUGGCUGCCCGACAGGAAAGUGGGACACACACGGAAUGAUAAAGUCUCCAAACCCUACAGCGCCAUGCCAGCCUCAUUUCCCAGGGACGCUUUUCCUGCAGCAUCUCUUUCCUGACUGCGCUGCACUUUAUGGUGGUUUGUUGGUGACUCCGCGCGUUGCUGCGCCGUGCGAACAGCCCUGAUGUGGCAGAGGACACCUCAGCGUGCACAGCAGCAAAAGUGUGCACACUCAGCCACGCUGCGUGAGAAAACCACACUGAGAGCGACUCCUGGUGUGGGCUGGAACGAAUGGGUGCCCAUAGAUCUCAAUUCAGCACUGAGUUAUUGGUUUGUAUCCCGAGGACAAAAAUGCCUUAUCUGGUCAGAAGCUGCUAAAUGUGUCCAAAGGACAAAAGGAUGAAGCGCGCUGCGUCUGAUCCUUCCUUGCAGCCAACUACCGGAGCGGUAACACUUCGUAUGGGAAAGUGUAAACCGAGCCAGGAGUCUGCUGGGGGAACGCUGCUCUGCAACGCUCAGGAGGAAACACAAACCCGAAACCCAACACCACCAACCCAUGUAGGUAACCAACUACCAACGCGCAGAGCCAGCAAACGUGAAUUUGGGGACCUGGAAAUACACUCUGGUGGUGUCAGAGGACCGAUGCCUGCACAGAGCUUUUCCACACGCGUGCCUUUCCUUCUGUGUUCGCUGCAAUGUGCU